rnacentral:rRNA from 1 species
CCAAUAGCGUAUAUUAAAGUUGUUGCAGUUAAAAAGCUCGUAGUUGAAUUUCGGGGUCUGUCCAUUGGUCGGGCUUCACGGUCCGUACUGGUGUGAUGGGUUCCUACCUUCUGAAUAACCAGCAUGCCAUUCAGUUGGUGCGCCGGGGAAGCAGAGCUAUUACCUUGAAAAAAUUAGAGUGCUUAAAGCAGGCUAGUGCUUGAAUAGAUUAGCAUGGAAUAAUAAAAUAGGACGGCAUGGUUCUAUUUUGUUGGUUUCUAGGAUCACCGUAAUGAUUAAUAGGGAUAGUUGGGGGCAGUAGUAUUCAAUUGUCAGAGGUGAAAUUCUUGGAUUUAUUGAAGACUAACUUCUGCGAAAGCAUUUGCCAAGGAUGUUUUCAUUAAUCAAGAACGAAAGUUAGGGGAUCGAAGACGAUCAGAUACCGUCGUAGUCUUAACCAUAAACUAUGCCGACUAGGGAUCGGACGAUGUUAAUUUUUUAAUGACUCGUUCGGCGCCUUACG